UACGGGGGGGGCAAGCGUUGUUCGGAAUUACUGGGCGUAAAGGGCUCGUAGGCGGCCAACUAAGUCAGACGUGAAAUCCCUCGGCUUAACCGGGGAACUGCGUCUGAUACUGGAUGGCUUGAGGUUGGGAGAGGGAUGCGGAAUUCCAGGUGUAGCGGUGAAAUGCGUAGAUAUCUGGAGGAAUACCGGUGGCGAAGGCGGCAUCCUGGACCGGCAUUGACGCUGAGGAGCGAAAGCUAGGGGAGCAAACGGG
rnacentral:rRNA from 1 species